CCCGCGAUUGGUUCCACCCCGCUCCUCUCUGCUAGGGUUUCCCGGCGCACAGGGACUCGGAUCUUGGCGACAAUGGAUCGAGUUCGCUCACGAACAGGCCUGCCCCUUUAAUUUCUCUCUGUUUACACGCGCUGCAAAUGUUCAGUUACAGUGUACGCGGUGGAGGAUCUGCCCAUGAGUGUCCACACAGUAUUUGCUACUAGUUACUUUUUGAUUGAAUAGAGUUGUUCCUAUCGCUCCAAUACUACUAGUCCCUGACGAAGGACAAAUUUAUUUGUAUACAUGUGCAAUGCAAACUGAGAUCCGUGUUAUGCCUGUCUCUAUGUAUUUAUCAAGACUGGCAAUCCCAGUCUUGGAAAGGAAUACAAAUUUCCAUUAUUAUUUGGCAUAUAUCAGACUCUGAUCUGUCCAUAAAAUGCAUUAGAAAAUUUUAAACUGAGUGUUUGUUUGUUGCUGAUUCAUUCUAGCUUGGUUGGUAUUAUUUCGCCUGUCCUACAGAUUACUUGUACUGCACUGCGCUAUAAUUCUUGACAUUAAUAUCUUCCUGAGCUUGUGUUUUUUUGUAUGCUCAUUAGGCGAGUUGUUCUUGUCAUGCAUGUUCGAGGCCGUGAUUCACUUCGUCGGGCUGAACCCACUGCUCUACUACGACGACACCCUCAUCGGCACCAUCACUCUUCUACAAGCAAGGAUUAAGAGUCGCUUGAAUUUCCCUCAUGUGUACUGAUGUUCCCUCCUAGUAUACAGCACCUUUUUGCUGUUUGGAGAUUUUGCCAGGGUGAAAGUUUGGAUACUGUUGGUGAAGGGCUUGAAGUUCUGAAAAACACGGUAGCUGCUGAUAUAAAUUCGGUUGCUUUUUUCUAGUUGAACGAUGGUAGGAAUCACAUGAAUUUUACUCUUUUGGUGCUUCCCUGCUCCGUUUGCUAUUUUGGUAUAUUCCAAGAUGCAUAAUCUGAGAUGAUUUCUGUAGAUUUUAUUUCAUGUGUUUCAUUUGAUGGUCAUUAUAAUUACCAAACUUGCUAGAUGCAGAUUAAUAUUGUGAAGUAUAUAUAGUCCAUUAAAAUCCUAAUAUUUUCUCGAACCGAACCAGUUCGAAAAUGAUUGCUAUUCAUUGAAUCUUUGUGCUUGUGAUUUGACAUAAUUUAAUAUUGAUGCCUUUUUCUUGCUCCACUUUGUUUCUUGAUUUAGCUGAACUAGUACAUUUGUUGUUUCUUAAGGAAUAAUCUUAAUUAUCCCUGGUUUCUGUAUCAUGGAUUAUUUAGAUUACCAUGAUAAGUAUCUGUACUUAUGUAGGAUCAGAAUGCACUACAUUUGUUUUUGGUUCCAUAUUUAGUUUGGUAUAUGUACUUGAGCAUCUCUGUGAGUAUAGGUGCAUGCACUGCUGGUAUGAUCCAAUCGUUGCAUGGUUCCAUUUGAUCCAAUCGUCGCGCGCUUCCGUGAUCAUGCUUGAACUGUUGUGUACAAUAUCGUCGCCUUAUUAUUUUGCAGUCCUUUCGAAAUAUCUGUAUUUGCUUUGCUUAUCAUGCUCUGUUUAUUUUGUCCGAGGAUAACGAGGAGGACUGAGCGACCGUAGUGGCCCCUUCUUCUUCGACUCCAUGUGUUUUAUGGGGAAGUCUCUAGCUCCUCUCUAUGAUUUCCUAGUCUUGUGUAGUAUUUAUAGGCCUCAAAUAUACGUGAAGUUUUCUUUCUUGGAUAUAGUGGAUUCUGUCAAAUGAAGCUUAAAUUUAUGGCAGAUUUUCUUGACCUGUGCAUAUUUGGAUGCCAAAUGAGUUGGUCUUGUGCGACUUGCUCACUGUAUUUGCUGCUAUGUUAUCAAUGCGGAUGUUUGAGAA